AGUGAACGCUGGCGGUAGGCCUAACACAUGCAAGUCGAACGGCAGCACAGUAAGAGCUUGCUCUUACGGGUGGCGAGUGGCGGACGGGUGAGGAAUACAUCGGAAUCUACUUUUUCGUGGGGGAUAACGUAGGGAAACUUACGCUAAUACCGCAUACGACCUACGGGUGAAAGCAGGGGAUCUUCGGACCUUGCGCGAUUGAAUGAGCCGAUGUCGGAUUAGCUAGUUGGCGGGGUAAAGGCCCACCAAGGCGACUAUCCGUAGCUGGUCUGAGAGUAUGAUCAGCCACACUGGAACUGAGACACGGUCCAGACUCCUACGGGAGGCAGCAGUGGGGAAUAUUGGACAAUGGGCGCAAGCCUGAUCCAGCCAUACCGCGUGGGUGAAGAAGGCCUUCGGGUUGUAAAGCCCUUUUGUUGGGAAAGAAAAGCAGCAGGUUAAUACCCCGCUGUUCUGACGGUACCCAAAGAAUAAGCACCGGCUAACUUCGUG
rnacentral:rRNA from 1 species